CUCAGAGGCUGGCCUGCCUGCCAUCCCUUUUGGGUUGCGUGCCAGUCCCUCAAACUGGAGAGUGAAUGCGGUCACCUCUGAGGGCCCAAGCUGAGGAUGGAAGAGGACAAAGGAUGCAUGGGUGGCAGCUUCCCUGGGUUCCUCCUUAGCUCUGGGCUUCCUGGUGGCUCAGAUGGUAAAGAAUCUGCCAGCAAUGCAGGAGACCUAGGUUUGACCCCUGGGUUGGGAAGAUCCUCUGGAGGUGGAACUGACAACCUGCUCCAGUAUUCUUGCCCAAGAAAUCCCAUGGACAGAGGAGCCUGGUGGGCUAUAGUCCGUGGGCUUGCAAAGAGUUGGACACCACUGAAUGACUAAACACUUUCACUUCCUUGUGUCGAGCCUCUUAUCUCUGUCUUUCUGUGCCCCUGGGGUUCUCAGACUCCAGUGCUAACAGUCUCCUCUGCCCAGACUUGCAGGCUUGUUUGACGUGCUCAAGAUCUGCUGUUUGGGUCUGUCCGUUAUUUUGUUCUUGCCCCAUCUACCAGGUCCUGGGCGACCUUGCCUUGCUCGCCGCAUCCUGGAGCCAAACAUCCUGACAAAAUGAUACAUCUCCAUCUUGGCUCUGCCCCUGCAAAGACCUAGCCCCCCUGUGACCCCUGACAUGACCACAGCCACAAAUCUGGUAAGGGGCAGAGUUGAAAGGUCAUACCAAAUGCCUUUGAUGGCUCCCCACUGCUCACAGGAUGGAGGCCAGAAUCCUUAAUAAAGCCCUCCACAAGCUGAUCCCUGUUCCCUCUCAUUUCUCACCCUGUGCCCUACGAACUCCUCUCUCUUUCUCAAAAGUACCACGUUCUCUCUUGCU
rnacentral:lncRNA from 1 species